CCUACGGGGGGCAGCAGUGGGGAAUAUUGCACAAUGGGGGAAACCCUGAUGCAGCGACGCCGCGUGAAGGAAGAAGUAUUUCGGUAUGUAAACCUCUAUCAGCAGGGAAGAAAAUGACGGUACCUGACUAAGAAGCCCCGGCUAACUACGUGCCAGCAGCCGCGGUAAUACGUAGGGGGCAAGCGUUAUCCGGAUUUACUGGGUGUAAAGGGAGCGUAGGCGGUGAUGCAAGUCAGAAGUGAAAGCUCGCAGCUCAACCGCGGGACUGCUUUUGAAACUGUAUGACUAGAUUGCAGGAGAGGUAAGUGGAAUUCCUAGUGUAGCGGUGAAAUGCGUAGAUAUUAGGAGGAACACCAGUGGCGAAGGCGGCUUACUGGACUGUAAAUGACGCUGAGGCUCGAAAGCGUGGGGAGCAAACAGGAUUAGAUACCCCAGUAGUC
rnacentral:rRNA from 1 species